rnacentral:lncRNA from 1 species
GAAGGGAUAGUAUUGGUGCGGUGCACAAGGCUCGUUUGAGCGUUUGGAACGCUCUUUCUUGUUUCUCUUCCCAGUCAAAGGCCACACCUUUCUGGGUUAGGGUUGUAAGAGGCUUCGCUAUUCGUGAGAAGUUCUGAAUGAACCUGCGGUAGUAGCCAGCGAGACCUAGAAAUUGACGAAUUUCUGUAGGAGUCUUCGGUGCUGACCAGUUCUCAAUGGCCUUAAUUUUGGAUGGGUCCACGUGGAUUCCCUCUUCGCUUACCACGUGUCCUAAGAAUUCGACUCUUCGGAUCCAAAAUUCACAUUUCGAGAACUUCGCAUAAAGUUUCUCUUUUCGUAAUGUCCCUAGAACUUGUCGCAGAUGAUCGCCAUGUUCUUUCUUACUUCGGGAGUAGAUCAGGAUGUCGUCAAUGAAAACGAUGACGAACUGAUCCAAGUAGGGUCGGCAUACUCUAUUCAUCAGAUCCAUGAAGACUGCGGGCGCAUUGGUCAAUCCGAAUGGCAUCACCACGAACUCGUAAUGUCCGUAACGAGUUCGGAAGGCGGUCUUCGGCACAUCCUCCUCUAGCACUCGUAACUGGUGAUAUCCGGAUCUCAGAUCAAUCUUAGAAAAAUAGUUCGCCCCUUGCAGUUGGUCGAAUAGAUCAUCUAUGCGUGGUAGAGGAUAACGAUUCUUGACCGUCAGUUUGUUGAGUUCUCUGUAGUCAAUACACAUACGGAAGGAUCCGUCCUUCUUCUUAACGAACAAGACCGGUGCUCCCCAAGGUGAGAAACUCGGUCUUAUAAAGCCCUUGCUGAGCAGUUCGUUAAGUUGACCAGAGAGUUCCUGCAUCUCAGCUGGUGCUAAACGGUAGGGCGACUUGGCUACUGGGGUAGCUCCUGGGACUAAGUCGAUUCUGAACUCGACUUGUCGUUGCGGAGGUAAUCCGGGUAGUUCUUCUGGGAAAAUGUCGGGGAAGUCGCUCACUACUGGGAGGUUCUUUAGUUCUUUCGUUUCUAGGUUCGUGUCGACGACGUGAGCAAGGAAUGCGUGGUAUUCCUUACGCAGGUAUUUCUGUGCUUGAAUACUUGAUAUGAUGCGAAGACUUGCACCGGGUUUGUCGCCGUAGACUAUAAGAGUUUCGUUAGACGGAAGGUUUAGACGGACUGCUUUCUCGAAGCACAUGAUGUCGGCACGAUGAAGGCUUAACCAAUCCAUGCCAAUGAUAACGUCGAAACUUUUUAUUGAGACUGGCAUGAGGUCGAUUGGAAAUGAAUGGUUAUCUAGAGUUAGGGUACAACCUAAGUAUAUGCUACUCGUAUUUUCAGUUUUUCCAUUAGCCAUUUCUACUGUGAAUAGUUCUUUGAGUGCGUGCGGUGGUUGAUUAAGCAUGCGAGCAAAUUUAUGGUUUACGAAGCUUCGCUCCGCUCCACUAUCGAACAGAAUGCAUGCAUAGGAGUUAUCGAGGAGGAACGUACCAGUCACCACUGUCGGGUCAGCAACUGCUUCCCCGUGGCCUAUAGCUAGUACCCUCCCUGCUCCUCCAGCAUUCCUCGCUUUGGGGCAGUCCCUCUUAAAGUGGCCUGCUUCGCCACAUCCAUAGCAGGUUGGGCUCGCGCCAGAGCCAGGGACUUGGUUGAUAGGUUGUGCCGGGAACUUACAGAAUCGGACGGUGUGUCCUUUCCUGUUGCAGUUAGAGCACUGCAUUUCACGGCAUGGGCCGUUGUGGUGGUAGUUGCAUUUGUUGCACUUGGGCGAACUUCCAGCAUACCGACCCACCGGAGCAGUAGUAGCAGCAGCAGGGGUUAUUGCGGCAUGUAUUGCCACAAUUUGCUGCUUUUUGGCAGCCUGUUGCUUCUUCUUUUCAUCCCAGAAUUUCCGCUUAGUAUCAGCGGGUUUGGAGGGUUCCGGGAUGGCUAGGGUGGUUGUGAUUGCAGGGGUUUUGACUCCAUGGUCAAUGAGUCGUUGUGCCAAUCGUUUGGCACUGUCGAAGGUAGCGGGGUUUGAUGCUAGAACAUUCCCCUGAUACAGAGGCACUAGCCCCCAUAUGUACCUCUCGAUCUUCUUCCCCUCGGUGGGAACCAUAUUGGGGCAGAGGGCCACCAGCUCGCUGAAUCGGGCAGUAUAAGCGACCACGUUGGUGCCCUUCAUCGUCAGGUUCCAAAGUUCCUGCUCCAGUUUCUGGAUCUCGCCCCUCGGGCAGUAUUCCUCAGUCAUGAGGUCUUUCAUUGUUUCCCAGCCUAUGUCGUUGGCUACAACGAGAGUUAGUGCCUUAACAUGGCCAUUCCACCAUGUCAAGGCCUUUCCUUCAAAGGUGCAUGCGGCGUACUUGACUUUACUCGCCGCAGGGCAUGAACAGAUUUCGAAGACUGAUUCAGUCUUCUCGAGCCAUUGCGAGAGGGCAAUGACUCCGCCGGUGCCGUAAAAAGGCUUCGGUUUGCAAUUUGUGAAAUCCUUGUAUGAGCACUCUCUCGAGCGCACAGGGCUUUCAACCGGGGUUGAUUCCACAGGGGUUCCACCCCUGCUGGCAUCAGAAGAGUGAUACUGAGCCAUGGCAGUUUCCACUGUUGUAGCUACAGCAACAUUCAGGGCUACAGUAUCGAUGACCGGAGGCGGAGGAGGUGGUGGUGCAGGAUUAUUCCUGGGAGAUUUGCGAGGAGGCAUCUUUCAGCUAUAAGUUUAUAAAGAUAAGAAAAAAAUGGUAAGAAUCAAUUUGUAAGCAACGUGAGAUUGACACAUGGACUAAGUAUCCAUAGCCCAACAAUUGAAUGAGUGUUUGAAAUCACAAAAAGAAUAUUAGUAGGACAGCACAAGUGUAUAGAUUUUUCCCACAGAUUAGAUAGAUUUCAAUAAUACUGGUAUUACUGAUGUAAUAAGUUCAGGGAAGAUCGACCUAACAGUAGGUCUUACAUCAUACCAUAUAGAAAAGUUUGACAAUACUUAGAUUCCUAAUUAGAGUACUGAAAGUUAGGAAUAUUUUACAGACAAGUGCUACUUAGAGUACAUAUGUUAAAGGUUAUACUUUAAUCAAAAGACAGAGAUGUACUAGACAUCAACCAACGGCGAUGGGAAUUCCCCGGGUGAGUACUAAGGUUGGACACUUGACGAAACACCUCUUGAAGGUGUCGAUCCUGAGUCCUCUGACAAGCUCGAAGUUCUAAGAUUUCAGCUCGUGAGGCAGCCAACUGCUGCUGUAGGGUUUCAUUGAUUCUCCGGGUCCGUGCCAUGUCUUCUUUAAGACAGCGGAUGCGGAUUGUGUUGACACCUGAGUUGGCAUCAAUCUCCAUNNNNNNNNNNNNNNNNNNNNNNNNNNNNNNNNNNNNNNNNNNNNNNNNNNNNNNNNNNNNNNNNNNNNNNNNNNNNNNNNNNNNNNNNNNNNNNNNNNNNCUCAAUGGCUUUAAUUGUGGAUGGGUCCACGUGGAUUCCCUCUUCACUUAGCACGUGUCCUAAGAAUUCGACUCUCCGGAUCCAAAAUUCACAUUUCGAGAACUUCGCAUAAAGCUUCUCUUUUCGUAAUGUCUCUAGAACUUGUCGCAGGUGAUCGCCAUGCUCUUUCUUACUUAGGGAGUAGAUCAGGAUGUCGUCAAUGAAAACGAUGACGAACUGAUCCAAGUAAGGUCGGCAUACUCUAUUCAUCAGAUCCAUGAAGACUGCGGGCGCAUUGGUCAAUCCGAAUGGCAUCACCACGAACUCGUAAUGUCCGUAACGAGUUCGGAAGGCGGUCUUCGGCACAUCCUCCUCUAGCACUCGUAACUGGUGAUAUCCGGAUCUCAGAUCAAUCUUAGAAAAAUAGUUUGCCCCUUGCAGUUGGUCGAAUAGAUCAUCUAUGCGAGGUAGAGGAUAACGAUUCUUGACCG